rnacentral:rRNA from 1 species
AGAGUUUGAUCCUGGCUCAGAACGAACGUAGCGGCGCGCUUAACACAUGCAAGUCGUGCGAGAAAGGGGUAACCCCGGUAAAGCGGCGCACGGGUGAGUAACACGUAGGUAAUCUGCCCCCAGGUGGUGGAUAACCUUCCGAAAGGAGGGCUAAUACAGCAUAAGACCACGGGUCCGCAAGGACUUGAGGUCAAAGCCGG